rnacentral:sRNA from 1 species
UGGGUUUUACUUUACUUGCGAAAGCGUGCACUCAUGACUGUCGUCAGCUCGUGUCGUGAGAUGUUGGGUUAAGUCCCGCAACGAGCGCAACCCUUGUCUCUAGUUGCUACGAAAGGGCACUCUAGAGAGACUGCCGGUGACAAACCGGAGGAAGGUGGGGAUGACGUCAAGUCCUCAUGGCCCUUAUGGGUAGGGCUUCACACGUCAUACAAUGGUGCAUACAGAGGGUUGCCAAGCCGCGAGGUGGAGCUAAUCCCAGAAAAUGCAUCGUAGUCCGGAUCGUAGUCUGCAACUCGACUACGUGAAGCUGGAAUCGCUAGUAAUCGCGGAUCAGCAUGCCGCGGUGAAUACGUUCCCGGGUCUUGUACACACCGCCCGUCACACCAUGGGAGUGGGCUUUACCAGAAGUAGUUAGCCUAACCGCAAGGAGGGCGAUUACCACGGUAGGGUUCAUGACUGGGGUGAAGUCGUAACAAGGUAGCCGUAUCGGAAGGUGCGGCUGGAUCACCUCCUUUAAGAGCGUGCAUCCUAGUUAGGCGUCCACACUUAUCGGUUUGUUUGAUGUUACAGCCAAGGGUCUGUAGCUCAGGUGGUUAGAGCACCGUCUUGAUAAGGCGGGGGUCGUAGGUUCAAGUCCUACCAGACCCACCAAGUUACGGACGGUGGAAGUUCCCCGGGCCUUUUGGGGGAAUUUUUUUUUUCGCG